rnacentral:lncRNA from 1 species
UUUCGCAUGACCACACUGCACUAAGCGCGUCUGGCCCAGCCGCCGAGCUCGCUCCUGAGGACUGUCAACGCCACCCGUCCAGACAUCUUCAAAAAAAAUCUGAAGGGGGGUUAACAGAGCCCCACGACGCACAUCACCGAUAAACAAAACACACACUCGCGCAUGGCACGCACGAGCCUUGCCACGCUCUCACCAAGUAUCCCAUCCCAUUUCCACUGACUCCGACUCGAGUUGCACCAACCACCAACAGGACACUGCAGGACAGACGCGCACUGGUCAGGUCAAUUUGUCUUGUUGUUGGUGUCACCAAACCGUCAGUCACAAUCAUAUGCUCACUGCGGGAUGAGACGCAAGGCUAUGCACGCACGUGGGCGCACUUAGUACUGGACGACCCCACAGCCAAGCACGCGCACAGGCACACACGCGUUAGACAAACUCCUAGCUGCGCAGCGUGUACGCGUGCGGUCAUAGAAAAUAUUAAUUCAGCGACACAUCAAUGGAAGAGGUCUUUGCCAGUUGCUGACGGUGUCGCGGGGGGCACACGCUUGCCUCAGCACGGUGGCGCACAUGAGCGCUGCCGUGGAAAGCGUUUGGAGUUUGGAGGGCCCUCCGCAAGGGAGGAUCCUCCGCAAGGCCAGCGUAAUAACCCCCACACGUUCAGCGACUUGAAAAUUGCAGCAUUCUACGCCAACUGAUGCGCACACAUGAGUGAGUCAAACACUGCUCCUUCCGUGUUUGUGCAAUACAAUGUGGGGCAGACACGCACACCACACAGUACCGCACUUCAACGGAAGUAUAUACAAUUCACCCUGUGGUGAGGACACACGCCAGAUCAUGCAAACAUAGCAAACCCGAAACGCCACGCCUACAGGCACGUGUGACAUCAGCUCGCGCAAGCCUUUGUUGCAGGCCCCGCCUGAGUACAUGCCAGUUGCGCCUCAUGCAUACGCAGCGCUGCAUUCUGCAGCUUCUACCUACUUAGUCGCGCAGAUUUCUCGCAUUGGUGAUGUUGGGGACGGACCGCAGCGUUGCAGUUGUCAGUCUUGCCGGUAGCUGCGCCACCGAUGAGGGGGGCAGCAGCCUGCCCGAGCUUGCUGACCGAGUCCGUCGCCCCAGCCACCGGGCGCUGAGCUGAAGGCCAGGAAGAAGAAGCUUAAGCUGUUGUUGGUCAUUGUUGCGAACUUGAUCGCCCUUGGGCGCCAAGCCCGCAGCCCGCGAAGUCGGAGCAUCAUCGGGCACAGCUUGUUGGUCAUCAGAAACCAGCGCGUGAGAGGUUGCGAGAUUGACUAUGCGCAUUCAGACUAUAGUUGUUGCCCGGCCGCAGCCGCAGCGCUGCGGCCGGCUGAGAGGAAGUCCGUAGGAUUCCCUCGAUGCUCGCCUCGUUCUCGAGUUUAGGCCUUGACGAGCGCCCGGCCCAUGAGCAGGCUCGUGGGCAUGGGAACAACGUCGGGGCUCGGGCUGAGGGAGGGCAAGAGGCAGAAAGCAGAAGCGCAGUCAGAAAAACUCAGCUUCCGUCGAACCCGCGGCAGAAACGUGACGGGGCAGCAGCGCAAAGCGGUGCACAAUCACACUUCCCUUCAUGCCUAACACCAAUGCGCACCUUGCGAAGAAGCCAGGGCAUGCGCGGGGAGCGGCCGAGCGCAUGCAGGGAACAUUCCGCAGCACCUUGGCCAGGUCGUCGUCCAGGGACUGGAACUUGGCCUGGUUCGCAGAAGGCUUCGCCAUGACCGCGCGACCGUCGAGAGAACCGCGCGAGGGAGACGAGCAGGAGUUGGGCGAAGCCGUCGCCUUCACGCGCUGGCCCGAGGCCGCCUUCUGCUGCUUGGGCGGCGAGGUCCGCGGCGAGCGCUUGGGAGGCGAGGGUCGGUUGGCCUUGGGCGCCAGCGGCAGCGGGGGCGCAUCCGCGAAAUCAAAGGGUGUCAGCUCGCGGACCUUCAUCGGCUCGGCCAUGGCCGGGCGCGCCUGAGACACCGCAAUAAGGCGGUCCACCAGCUCCGACGAAUCGCCC